UUCGGAUUGCAGCCUGCAACUCGGCUGCAUGAAGUUGGAAUCGCUAGUAAUCGCGGAUCAGAAUGCCGCGGUGAAUACGUUCCCGGGUCUUGUACACACCGCCCGUCACACCAUGGGAGUCGGGAAUGCCCGAAGUCGGUGACCUAACCGAAAGGGAGGAGCCGCCGAAGGCAGGCCUGGUAACUGGGGUGAAGUCGUAACAAGGUAGC
rnacentral:rRNA from 1 species